rnacentral:rRNA from 1 species
ACUGCUCAGUAACACGUAGACAACCUACCCUCAGGUCGGGGAUAAACCCGGGAAACUGGGUAUAAUACCCGAUAGAUCUCGGCUGCUGGAAUGCAUCGAGUUCCAAAGCUCCGGCGCCUGAGGAUGGGUCUGCGGCCUAUCAGGUAGUAGUGGGUGUAAUGUACCUACUAGCCUACAACGGGUACGGGUUGUGAGAGCAAGAGCCCGGAGAUGGAUUCUGAGACAUGAAUCCAGGCCCUACGGGGCGCAGCAGGCGCGAAAACUUUACAAUGCGGGAAACCGUGAUAAGGGGACACCGAGUGCCAGCAUCAUAUGCUGGCUGUCCAGGUGUGUAAAAUACACCUGUUAGCAAGGGCCGGGCAAGACCGGUGCCAGCCGCCGCGGUAACACCGGCGGCCCGAGUGGUGAUCGUGAUUAUUGGGUCUAAAGGGUCCGUAGCCGGUUUGGUCAGUCCUCCGGGAAAUCUGACGGCUCAACCGUUAGGCUUUCGGGGGAUACUGCCAGGCUUGGAACCGGGAGAGGUAAGAGGUACUACAGGGGUAGGAGUGAAAUCUUGUAAUCCCUGUGGGACCACCUGUGGCGAAGGCGUCUUACCAGAACGGGUUCGACGGUGAGGGACGAAAGCUGGGGGCACGAACCGGAUUAGAUACCCGGGUAGUCCCAGCCGUAAACGAUGCUCGCUAGGUGUCAGGCAUGGCGCGACCGUGUCUGGUGCCGCAGGGAAGCCGUGAAGCGAGCCACCUGGGAAGUACGGCCGCAAGGCUGAAACUUAAAGGAAUUGGCGGGGGAG